AAGGUAGCAUAAUAAUUUGCCUUUUAAUUGGAGGCUUGCAUGAAUGGGAGUUUUAAUUACUACUUUAUUACCUUUGGCCCUAAAAUUUACGAUCUACGUGCAAACUCGUAGACUCCCUUAAAAGACCAAAAGACCCCAGGAGCUUUAAUUUUACGUUUAUUUUUUAGACAAAAAUUUAUACUGGGAGAGUAAGGGAAAAACAUCCCUCUUAUAACAUAAUAAGCCUUCUCUAUUGAGAAUUAAGCUACCCUGGGGAUAACAGGCUACUCUUCCUUAAAAGCCCAAAUUUACAGGAAGAUAUAGCACCUCGAUGUUGGCUUAAGAGUAUAUAAAAUGCAGCAGUUUUAUUUAAUGGCUUGUUCCGCCAAUAUUUUCUUACGUGAUCUGA
rnacentral:rRNA from 1 species